GUUUUAGAAUCAUAGGUAGUUUAGGCUGGAAGAAACUUCUGGAUGUCUUCUAGUCCAAGCCCUUUCUCCAAGCAGUUAUCAUUACAUCAGGUUGCUCAUCGUUGCAUCCAAUCAAGUUGAAACAUCCAAAGACAAAGAUUCCGCAACCUCUACUGAAUGCUGAUUGCUGCAAUGCGUUGGUAAGAAAGCAAUUCACAUGCAAAAUUAUUCCCCAUUUUUUUCUGGAUAAAAUUUGGAAUGUCCCACUUUUUAUCAGAGGCCUUUCCCAUUUUCUGGAUUGCAUAUGUCCUGUUCAGAUCUCAGGUCAGAAGAGCCAGGAAAGCUGUUGUGAUUACUUCUAUGGCAAAGCAGUGCUUCAAGAAACACAUCCCAGAGACAUAGUUGUCUGCCAGUACUUUGGUCUCAGCUAGUUACAGAAGAUAAGUUUUGGCCUGAACUACUGGUGGGAGCCUCUUCUUCCACCUUCCUGGGAGACCAGUGUUCUGCCAGCAGUGGGCUGAGGUAGUGAUGCUGAAUGCCAAGGCUGCUGCAGGCAAUGGGACCACUGCCUGUGCCCUGGCCUGGGGUGCACAGAGCAAGAUGUGAGAAACUACUGGACAUGGCACAAGAAACUGCUGGACCCAAAAGAUCACAGAGUGAGAAGCUGGCAGCUUUACAGAGAGUACUGUGAGGAAUUCACAGGUGGUUAAGGAGGAGUUAUGUGAGAAACAACCAAAAUUCACAAGAAAGCUGGAGCAUGAAGGUACUUAGGGACAGCAAGACAUUGGCCGAGAAUAAGGAUUCCAGUUCAGUGUAACCCUCUUCACAACCC